rnacentral:rRNA from 1 species
GACGAACGCGGGCGGUGUGCUUCACACAUGCAAGUCGAACGAGGUAGCAAUACCUAGUGGCGGACGGGUGAGUAACGCGUGGGAAUCUGCCUUUGAAUGGGGGAUAACGGGCCGAAAGGUCCGCUAAUACCGCAUAGGCCGCAAGGUUAAAGGAGUAAUCCGUUCAAAGAUGAGCCCGCGUCCGAUUAGCUAGUUGGUAGGGUAAAAGCCUACCAAGGCGACGAUCGGUAGCUGGUCUGAGAGGAUGAUCAGCCACAAUGGGACUGAGACACGGCCCAUACUCCUACGGGAGGCAGCAGUGGGGAAUUUUACGCAAUGGGCGAAAGCCUGACGUAGCGACACCGCGUGAGCGAAGAAGCCCUUUGGGGUGUAAAGCUCUGUCAGCUGGAACGAAAAAAAUGACGGUACCAGCAGAGGAAGCAUCGGCUAACUACGUGCCAGCAGCCGCGGUAAGACGUAGGAUGCGAGCGUUGUCCGGAUUUAUUGGGCGUAAAGAGUUCGUAGGUGGUUUGUUAAGUCUGAUGUUAAAGAUUGGGGCUCAACCCUGAAAAUGCAUGGAUACUGGCA